GCUAGCGAGGAAUCGGUCUCAGAUAUAAUAAAAUACAGGAACCAGUCGGACAUGGUAGAACCUUGACCACGGAAGACAAGUGUAGCUCGGGCUGUUAUUCAUCACCAAACCCCCUGGUGGAGGACCAACCCUUGCCGCCUAUCCGCGACUGCGUAAUAGAUAUAUUUGCUGUUCCCCGCACAUGGAGACCAUCUCCACCGUCUGCAACAUGAGAACGUACAGUACCAUGAUUUUAACCAAGCAGCCAAGACGCACAUGAGGCCACAUUGGAUCCCUAGAUCCUUACUAUGCACAAGAC